rnacentral:rRNA from 1 species
GACGAACGCUGGCGGCGUGCUUAACACAUGCAAGUCGAACGCUGAAGCUCAGCUUUUGUUGGGUGGAUGAGUGGCGAACGGGUGAGUAACACGUGAGUAACCUGCCUCCUUCUUUGGGAUAACGCCCGGAAACGGGUGCUAAUACUGGAUAUUCACUGGUCUUCGCAUGGGGGUUGGUGGAAAGGGUUUUUCUGGUGGGGGAUGGGCUCGCGGCCUAUCAGCUUGUUGGUGGGGUGAUGGCCUACCAAGGCUGUGACGGGUAGCCGGCCUGAGAGGGUGACCGGUCACAUUGGGACUGAGAUACGGCCCAGACUCCUACGGGAGGCAGCAGUGGGGAAUAUUGCACAAUGGGCGAAAGCCUGAUGCAGCGACGCCGCGUGAGGGAUGGAGGCCUUCGGGUUGUGAACCUCUUUCGCUCAUGGUCAAGCCGCAACAAUGGUUGUGGUGAGGGUAGUGGGUAAAGAAGCGCCGGCUAACUACGUG